rnacentral:tmRNA from 1 species
GGGGCCGACCGGUUUUGACAGCGAGACCAGUUGGAGUGUAAGCAUGUCGAGCGUUGGGAUGUUGCUCGUUAAUCUGAUGUUCCAAACCUUUAAAUGGCGAAAAUAAUUACGCUCUUGCCGCUUAAUCUGAAUCAUAGUAAGAUAAGCCUCGUCUCUAUAAGAUAGAGAAGCGAGAUGUUCCUGAACAGCCCUUGUUGACGGCGGUUCGUAAAGGAGCACCAUAAAAGUCAACAUAGAAACCGUAGGAUCCCGAUACGGUUUUAAAGCUUAAUCGGGAAUAAGGUUAUGGUGGGCGGUCUUUGGUCAGCCAUAGCUCGAAAACCAAUCAGAGACUAAACAUGUAGAAAGCCCUUUAGCUUCUUGUUUGGACGAGGGUUCGAAUCCCUCCGGCUCCACCA